CUUGAUUCCAUCUUUCAAGAAAGAGGCAACCAAAUUAUUCCCUGAAAAAGAAACUGUUUUCCACCAUUUGGGUCGAUAUCUUUUCAAUCCCUCAAAUCAAGUAUGGAGGCAGCUAAUCACCAGGUUCUAUGAUGCAUAUCUAGCCAAUGCACAUGAAAGGAUUGGCCUCCAAUUAAGAGUAUUCCAUGCUAAUGCUGCGCAAAUUCAAACUGUGAUGGAUCAAUUAUUAGCAUGUACCCUAAAGAAGAAACUUCUACCAGAAGUAGACACAAGAAAUUCUGUUGCUUCCUCUUCUAAGAAUCGGACAGCAUCAAAAGCUAUUUUGGUAACAUCUUUAUAUUCUGAGUUCUACAGGAAUUUAAGUAAUAUGUAUUUGGCG
rnacentral:misc_RNA from 1 species